GCUCCGGUGCCGGACCCACCCCCAGCCCCGGCCAGGGACCCCCUCCCCUCCCGGGACCCCCUGGGGUUCCCACCCCUCCCGCACCGCCGGGGACCAGGCCAGCCCGGCGUGAGUCCCUGUCUGGGGCCCUGGCUCGGCCCCCAGGUUGGAGGAGCCCGAAGCCGGCCCUCCGAGCGACAGCCCAGCAGCGGCGGCAAGCUGCAGUCUGUAGGGUCCAUGCUUAUAAUUCUCAAUGGAGAGUGAAAACAAAGAUUCAUAAUGAAAACCAGCCCCUGGUGGCCACUGAUUCUCAAAAGACGGAGGCUGCCCCUUCCUGUUCAAAAUGCCCCAGGUGAAACAUCAGAGGAGGAACCUAAGAGACUCACUGCUCAACAGGAGCCUAGUCAAGCACAGGCCUCCAAAGAAGUGGCAGAGUCUAGCUCCUGCAAGUUUCCAGCUGGGAUCAAGAUUAUUAACCAUCCCACCAUGCCCAAUACCCAAGUUGUGGCCAUCCCCAGCAAUGCCAAUAUCCAGAGCAUCAUCACAGCAUUGACUGCCAAAGGCAAAGAGAGUGGCAGCAGUGGACCCAACAAAUUCAUCCUCAUCAGCUGUGGGGGAGGCCCAACUCACACUGCAGGACUCCAGCCUCAAACCCACAUCACCAAUGAUGCUAGGAAGACAACAGUGAUCACCGAAACAUUGGGACCCAAACCUGCAGCUAGGGAUGUGAAUCUUCCCAGGCCACCUGGAACCCUUUUGGGACAGAGACGGGAGAGCUGUGGAGGUGAGGCAGCAGGCUGCACUCUUGACAACAGCUUAACCAACAUCCAGUGGCUUGGAAAGAUGAGCUCUGAUGGACUGGGCUCCUGUGGCAUAAAGCAAGAGAUGGAAGAAAAGGAGAAUUGUCACCUGGAACAGAAACCAGUUAAGGUUGAGGAGCCCUCAGGAGCAUUGACAUCCUGGCAUGACUCUGUGUCUAAGCGGCCACCCUACUCUUACAUGGCCAUGAUACAGUUCGCCAUCAACAGCACUGAGAGGAAGCGCAUGACCUUGAAAGACAUCUAUACCUGGAUUGAGGACCACUUCCCCUAUUUUAAGCACGUUGCUAAGCCAGGUUGGAAGAAUUCCAUUCGCCACAACCUUUCUCUCCAUGAUAUGUUUGUUCGGGAGACAUCUGCUAAUGGCAAGGUUUCCUUCUGGACCAUUCACCCCAGUGCCAAUCGCUACUUGACCUUGGACCAGGUUUUUAAGCAGCAGAAACGACCAAAUCCUGAGCUCCGAAGGAAUGUGACCAUCAAAACUGAACUCCCGCUGGGCGCACGGCGGAAGAUGAAGCCACUGCUACCUCGGGUCAGCUCAUACCUGGUACCCAUACAGUUCCCAGUGAAUCAGUCACUGGUGUUGCAGCCCUCGGUGAAGGUGCCGUUGCCCUUGGCAGCUUCACUCAUGAGCUAGGAGCUCGCCCGCCAUAACAAGCGAGUCCGCAUCGCCCCCAAGGUACUGCUGGCCGAUGAGGGCAUAGCCCCUCUCCCUGCUGCAGGGCCAGUGAAAGAGGAGAAGCUCCUGCUGGGGGAAGGACUGUCUUCUUUUCUUCCAGUUCAGUCCAUCAAAGAGGAAGAACCCCCUCCUGGGGAGGAGACACUGCACUUAGCAAGACCCAUCAAAGUGGAGAGCCCGCCCUUGGAAGAGUGGCCCUCCCCGUACCCAUCUUUCAAAGAGGAAUUAUCUCACUCCUGGGAAGACUCAUCCCACUCUCCCACCCCAAAGUCCAAGAAGUCCCACAGUGGCAUCAAGUCCCCAGCCCGGCGUGUCUCGGAAAUGCUCGUAAUUAAACGCAGGGAGAGGAGGGAGAUGAGCCGGUCUCGAAGGAAACAGCAUCUGCGGCCUCCCUGCCUUGAUGAGCCUGAGCUGCUCUUCUCAGAGGGUCCCAGCACUUCCCGACGUGCCACAGAACUCCCUUUCCUAGCAGAUUCCUCUGAGCCUGUCCCCCAACUUGUCUACUCUCAGGAGGAGGGAGGAUCUUUUAAGACACCCAUAAAGGAGACACUGCCCAUCUCCUCCACUCCCAGCAAAUCUGUUCUUCCCAGAACCCCUGAAUCCUGGAGGCUCACACCCCCAGCCAAAGUAGGAGGGCUGAAUUUCAGCCCAGUACGAACCCCCCAUGGUGCCUUUGGCAACCUGCCUGAUUCCCUGGGGCUGAUGGAUCCCAGCACUACUCCACUGAAAAGUGUUCCCCUCUUUGACUCACCCGGAGAGCUCCUCUAUUCGGAACCCUUUGAACUUAACACUGACCCCUUUGGCAACUCUUCCCCCUCAAAUAUGGAGGUCCCCAAGCCAGGCUCUCCAGAGCCACAGGCUCCCAGCCUUUCAGCCAAUCGUUCUCUGACAGCAGGCCUGGUUCUGGACACGAUGAAUGACAGCCUCAGCAAGAUCCUGCUGGACAUCAGCUUCCCUGGCCUGGAGGAGGACCUGCUGAACCCUGACAACAUCAACUGGUCCCAGUUCAUUCCUGAGCUGCGGUAGAGACCUGGUCUUGUCCUUGUGCUCAAGCUGUCCACCAUCCCAGGAACGCAUGUGUCUCAGCAGCCCAAGGCUCUCUGUACCCCAGGCCUCUGAGUGAGGACGGCAGUAGGGGCCCAUCCUGUACCUCCUCGCUCUAUUCUGCUUGAUUAUGCCGAGGCAGCUAUCAAGUCCUGGCCAUUGCUGAGACCUUAUACUCCCAAGAGACUCUGAGGCUUCUAUUCUCCCUGCCAGGAGCUGAAGAGUAGGAAUGACGAAAGCAAUGAAGAAAAGAGAUUAGGAACUCCCCAAACUGUUUCCAUUCUGUGCCCAGCAGUCUCUCACCUUCCCUGAUCCUUGCAGA